GAUGAACGCUGGCGGCGUGCCUAAUACAUGCAAGUCGAGCGAACAGACGAGGAGCUUGCUCCUCUGACGUUAGCGGCGGACGGGUGAGUAACACGUGGAUAACCUACCUCUAAGACUGGGAUAACUUCGGGAAACCGGAGCUAAUACCGGAUAAUAUAUUGAACCGCAUGGUUCAAUAGUGAAAGACGGUUUUGCUGUCACUUAUAGAUGGAUCCGCGCCGCAUUAGCUAGUUGGUAAGGUAACGGCUUACCAAGGCAACGAUGCGUAGCCGACCUGAGAGGGUGAUCGGCCACACUGGAACUGAGACACGGUCCAGACUCCUACGGGAGGCAGCAGUAGGGAAUCUUCCGCAAUGGGCGAAAGCCUGACGUAGCAACGCCGCGUGAGUGAUGAAGGUCUUCGGAUCGUAAAACUCUGUUAUUAGGGAAGAACAAAUGUGUAAGUAACUAUGCACGUCUUGACGGUACCUAAUCAGAAAGCCACGGCUAACUACGUG
rnacentral:rRNA from 1 species